CAGCAGCCGCGGUAAUACAGAGGGUGCGAGCGUUAAUCGGAUUUACUGGGCGUAAAGCGUGUGUAGGUUGUUGUUCAAGUCAGUUGUGAAAUCCCUGAGCUUAACUUAGGAAUUGCAUUCGAUACUGGGAAGCUAGAGUAUGGGAGAGGAUGGUAGAAUUCCAGGUGUAGCGGUGAAAUGCGUAGAGAUCUGGAGGAAUACCGAUGGCGAAGGCAGCCAUCUGGCCUAAUACUGACGCUGAGGUACGAAAGCAUGGGGAGCAAACAGGAUUAGAGACCCCUGUAGUCCCUGUCUCUUAUAA
rnacentral:rRNA from 1 species